UCUCCGUAGGUGAACCUGCGGAGGGAUCAUUACCGAGUGAGGGCCUCCGGGCUCGACCUCCAACCCUUUGUAUACCGACCCUGUUGCCUCGGGGGUGACCCGGCCUUUGGGCGUCGGGGCCCCCGGCGGACCACUCAACUCUGCAUCUUUGCGUCUGAGUCUUAUAUAUGAAUUAAAUCAAAACUUUCAACAACGGAUCUCUUGGUUCUGGCAUCGAUGAAGAACGCAGC
rnacentral:misc_RNA from 1 species